GUUGAACGCUGGCGGCGUGCCUAAUACAUGCAAGUCGAGCGAACAGACGAGGAGCUUGCUCCUCUGACGUUAGCGGCGGACGGGUGAGUAACACGUGGAUAACCUACCUAUAAGACUGGGAUAACUUCGGGAAACCGGAGCUAAUACCGGAUAAUAUAUUGAACCGCAUGGUUCAAUAGUGAAAGACGGUUUUGCUGUCACUUAUAGAUGGAUCCGCGCCGCAUUAGCUAGUUGGUAAGGUAACGGCUUACCAAGGCGACGAUGCGUAGCCGACCUGAGAGGGUGGUCGGCCACACUGGAACUGAGACACGGUCCAGACUCCUACGGGAGGCAGCAGUAGGGAAUCUUCCGCAAUGGGCGAAAGCCUGACGGAGCAACGCCGCGUGAGUGAUGAAGGUCUUCGGAUCGUAAAACUCUGUUAUUAGGGAAGAACAAAUGUGUAAGUAACUAUGCACGUCUUGACGGUACCUAAUCAGAAAGCCACGGCUAACUACGUG
rnacentral:rRNA from 1 species